rnacentral:rRNA from 1 species
AACGCGUGGGAACGUGCCCUUUGGUUCGGAAUAGCCCUUGGAAACGAGGUGUAAUACCGGAUAAGCCCUACGGGGGAAAGAUUUAUCGCCAAAGGAUCGGCCCGCGUUAGAUUAGCUAGUUGGUGAGGUAAAGGCUCACCAAGGCGACGAUCUAUAGCUGGUUUGAGAGGAUGAUCAGCCACACUGGGACUGAGACACGGCCCAGACUCCUACGGGAGGCAGCAGUGGGGAAUCUUGGACAAUGGGGGAAACCCUGAUCCAGCCAUGCCGCGUGAAUGAUGAAGGCUUUAGGGUUGUAAAAUUCUUUCAGCAGGGAAGAUAAUGACGGUACCUGCAGAAGAAGCCCCGGCUAACUCCGUGCCAGCAGCCGCGGUAAUACGGAGGGGGCUAGCGUUGUUCGGAAUUACUGGGCGUAAAGCGCACGUAGGCGGACUAGUCAGUCAGAGGUGAAAGCCCGGAGCUCAACUCCGGAAUUGCCCUUGAUACUGCUAGUCUGGAAUCCAGGAGAGGUGUGUGGAAUUCCGAGUGUAGAGGUGAAAUUCGUAGAUAUUCGGAGGAACACCAGAGGCGAAGGCGGCACAC